UACAUUAAAUUUGAAUGUAAAAACAUGUGAAACAAAUGAAUGUGAUACACGGGUGUCAAUCAAAAUAUGAGCAAGAUAGUUAUAGAUACUGUACAUACCCUGUACCACGUCUGGGUUGGCUUCAACAUCCUGCUAUGUGAGAUUGUAAGCCCUGCCUUGUAUAGGAGGUCUGUCCUGAUUCUGGUUCCUUAGGCACUCUCAAGCAUAAUAUUGGGCACUACCACAUAUGCAACAGGUGUUGUUGAGGCGGUAGCAGGGUCGGUCCCCCUGAUCCCCGUCGCAAUGCUGACAGAUCUUACCACGUCCUGCCAUUGGAGCCUG
rnacentral:lncRNA from 1 species